GGGGAUGUUUGGUCUCGACAGGGUUGUAGGUACGAACGUUGCACGCCGAGGUGCCCGAGGCCUCGUAAAAACGGGCAAAAAAGUAGCUGGCACUCCCAACUACGCUCUCGCUGCCUAAGUCACAGACCUCUAGGUAGCGCGUCCGUCCGGUCCUCCCCCUCCUGGGACCGGGUACGGGCGUCACAAAGGGAGGGUGCGGCGGUCUAGUUUGCCGGAGCGCAACCGCCAAAGACAGUCUGGCUCACCGCAGCGGAACCUGGUCGGUGGGGGUCCGCGGCGGCACACAAAACGCCGACUAAGCGUGUAGUAGAUGCUCGACCGAAGAUUCUGGACGGGGGUUCGAUUCCCCCCAUCUCCACCA
rnacentral:tmRNA from 1 species